rnacentral:rRNA from 1 species
GACGAACGCUGGCGGCGUGCUUAACACAUGCAAGUCGAGCGGUAAGGCCCUUUCGGGGGUACACGAGCGGCGAACGGGUGAGUAACACGUGGGUGACCUGCCCUCAGCUCUGGGAUAAGCCCGGGAAACUAGGGUCUAAUACUGGAUAUGACUCCAUGACGCAUGUUGUGGGGUGGAAAGCCUUGUGCGGCUGAGGAUGGGCCCGCGGCCUAUCAGCUUGUUGGUGGGGNGAUGGCCUACCAAGGCGACGACGGGUAGCCGGCCUGAGAGGGCGACCGGCCACACUGGGACUGAGACACGGCCCAGACUCCUACGGGAGGGCAGCAGUGGGGAAUCUUGCGCAAUGGGCGAAAGCCUGACGCAGCGACGCCGCGUGA